rnacentral:misc_RNA from 1 species
AUCAGAUUACAGAAUGAGAGGUUAAGAUUCUUAUUGCAAGAACAAAGAAAGCAACAGCUAGCUUUAUUGAUGAAGAGAAUAGAAUCAAACGCACUGCCUUUAUUGAGGCAAAAGGAUGAAGAAAUAGCUCGAGCAGCUAAAAGAAUUGCAGAGCUUGAAGAUUUCACAAAAAGAUUAGAGAUGGAGAGCCAAGUCUGGCAAAGGUUAGCACAAGAAAACGAAGCCAUGGUUAUUUCUCUCAACAACACAAUAGAACAACUGAG